GGUGUUUGUAUGAUUAAAAUCUUUAAAAAAAAAAUUUUUUUUUACAUUUAUUUAUUUUUGAGAGACAGAGCCAGACAAAGUGAGAGUGGGGGAGGGGCAGAGAGAGAGGGAGACACAGGAUCUGAAGCAGGCUCCAGGCUCUGAGCUGUCAGCACAGAGCCUGACACGGGGCUUGAACUCACAGAGGGCGAGAUCAUGACCUGAGCCAAAGUCGGACGCUCAACGGACUGAGCCACCCAGGUGCCCCUGAUUAAAAUCUUUAAUUACAAAUAGCAUAUACCUUCAAAUCUGUUAAUGUACCACAUUCUAGCACUCUGGAGUCCACCAACACAUUCACCUGAGUUACCAACUUGACUAGUUUUUGUGUGGGACUAAGAAUAAAGCUCUUCCAUCAUCUCUGAUUCAUUGGAUAAAGUCUCAAAACAGCAAGAUUAAAAACUUUUAUCACUAAUCUUUGUGACUCAGGAUUUUUUUUUUUUUUGAGAGAAAGAGAGAGGGAUUGAGUAUGUGUGUACCCAAGUGGGAGUGGGAGAGGGACAGAGAGACUGGGAGAGAGAGAAUCCCGACACUGGACUCGAUCUUAUGACCGAAAUCAUGACCUGAGCUGAAAUCAAGAGUCAGAUGCUUAAUUAAAUGAGCCACCCAGGAGCCCCCAGGAAAUUCUUGAUACCAUGAUUCCAAAUGAUAUGAAGAAAUAAAUUAGUUAUUGAGUUUGCUAUUUGUCCCAUGAAAUGCUGACAUCAUCUGAUUAAAGAGGUUUAGGAAAUGUUACCAAAGCUAAACAGAUUUAUUAUUUAUCAUGAAGAGGGGGAAGUAGAAGGAUAUAGCUCUCUUUUAAGUAUCUGGUUGAAAAAAUGUGAAGGGCCAUUAGUCUUCUAUCUCACAGUCAGAUGUCGAAGAUUCAGAUAAAGGAGAUAAUAUUACCUAACCGAAAUCCUAUUCACAAUCUGUUGAAUUCUUCACAACAAAUUCCAUUAAGUCUGUGAGAUCUAGGCAUGUCUACUUAUUAGGACAGUCAAUCACAAGUAAAUUCAGUUUUAAAUUAGCAGUCCUUUGGAUCAUAUUCAUGCAUCCAUUAAUUCAUUAUUAUUUGAUGAACAUUAUUCAAUAAACAUUUACUGGCAAGCUAUUGUGCUAGUCUUUGGGGAAUAUAAUAAGGAGCAAAAGCCCAGAAAAGUCUCUCUGAACUCAAAGAUCUCAGUCCAUCAGGGGGUUAAGAUUAGGUAGCCAGCAAUUAUUUAUAAUAUAGAGUGCUGGGGCACCUGGGUGGCUCAGUCAGUUGGGCGUCCGACUUUGGCUCAGGUCACGAUCUCACGGUUUGUGAGUUCGAGCCCCGCGUCAGGCUCUGUGCUGACAGCUCAGGGCCUGGAGCCUGCUUUGGAUUCUGUGUCUCCCUCUUUCUCUGCCCCUCCCCUGCUCAUGCUCUGUCUCUCUGUCUCUCUCUCCAUAA